rnacentral:sRNA from 1 species
CGUCACCUCAGCCCAUGAUCAGUCCCUGGUUCUGAAGCAGAACCUCACGGUCACGGACCGCGUCAUUGGAGGCCUGCUCGCUGGGCAGACAUACCAUGUGGCUGUGGUCUGCUACCUGAGGUCUCAGGUCAGAGCCACCUACCACGGAAGUUUCAGUACAAAGAAAUCUCAGCCCCCACCUCCACAGCCAGCAAGGUCAGCUUCUAGUUCAACCAUCAAUCUAAUGGUGAGCACAGAACCAUUGGCUCUCACUGAAACAGGUGAGUUGUGAAACUAUUAGGUCCAUUAAUGGCACUAAGAAAAUACCCAUCUUGAUUCCAGUUUAACUUCCUGGGUUCUAAGUCUUAGCCCAGGCAUGACUUCUAUGGGGGAAAAGGUCCACGUCAGCUCUGUGCAGCCCAACAUCAUCUUAUUCUGCAUAAUCCCAGGUGUAAAUGGAGUCUUACUUUACCUGUGAUCAGACUCAGUGAAAAUUUGAUGGGAGGUGCUUUUGGGGCUAUCACUAGAAUUCACGUAUCCAUUAGACAUUUCUCCUGUGCCUCAUACUGGGACUCGAGUUGAUUUGUGGUCUGUGAUGCUGUGAAGAUUGGCGUUUCAUUUACUCAGUGAUUUAAUCUAAUAAAAAAAACUGCUUAGAAGAACACAAGACAAAUUUGGCUGGAAUCCAUGAAAUGCAUGGGUUUGGAUCUGACCCAUGGGGUGUUCUGGUCCGGACAUCCUAAGCACACACCCCAGCUUAGUGU